GGCAAAUUUAAUCAGCCUAUCAUAGUAUUGAAUUAUGCCAUGUCACCCAAAUCAACCUAAACGACAUAUUAGGCAAAUUAAAUCGGCUGAACGAAGAAGAAUUACGAUCGAACGGCUGAGAUUUCUUCGUUCCAAUCUCUCAGUGCUCAGCUAUGGCGAUCCGUUACGCGAGCAAGGAACCUCGAUCCGAGCAAGACGACGACGUUUAGGAUGGCGGUUAACUGCUGGCACCGGAGGGGUGGCGAGGAGCACACCUUUUUGAAUGUUGUGACAUGAGAGCAUAGGAAGAUCAGAGACUGAGAGACGGAGAUCGGCCACGGUGGACUUCUUCUCCGGGUACACAAUGCACUUGGAGAUUAUUUCUCUUCACCACUAUCUCUUGCUUGACAGGAAAGGAAGUGAAAAGGGCACCGCAAAAACUUCGAAGCCGUUGGUUAAAGGCUUUGUGCAUGAUAACGAUGAUGAAGUCAUGAAAAUCACAAAGGUCUUGAAGAACAAAAGGGGAGGUGACCCUCUAUUCAGCGAAAUUCAUAUGUCGCGGUUGGAUCAAGCCAUGGCUGAGCCAUUGCCAAGGGUUAAAAAAAUGAGUGGCCAGGUCAGUUAUCGUGAUCAAGCCAAGCUUCAUGAGCUUCAAGUCAUGUUUGUAGGGGAAGCAAAACGUAGAACCCAGUACUCUACAAUUCUUGGUGCUUACUUUAGUGGUUUCAGGGAAGCCAAUAAGCUUCUCAAGCAUUAAAGUGUAGUUUUUGAGUGUUCGUUUUUAAGAUAUGUUUUCAGGUCAAUGUGUUUAGAGAAGCUUGGUUAGUUUUGUAAGGGUUAAAAAAAUUGUUUACUUUCAGUUUGUUUUUUUAAUUCUUUAUUACAAGUUUCAAGCAACGAAAGAACAAUGAAUGGAUAUUUUAACUAAACAACAGUCAAUGGUUAAAGUUAAAAAGAAAGCAAGAUAUAAAGAUGUCUAAUUGAAUUUGCAUCUUUGUUUAUGGUUCACUAUAAGAGAGAGAAUGAAUGUUAUAUGUCACAAUUUUCUAUGGAGUAGGAAAGAAGCAUAAGAGAGAAGUAGAGAACAGUUGUGAAUGGUGUAUUAAGUAUGGUAAAAGCAAUAGAAUGUGUUUAAGAUCUAUAAGAUGAGGAGUAGUUCAUAUGAGCAGCUCAGGUUGGGGAAUGUCCUGAGGAGGAGGAAUGCACGGUUUUGGCUACAUGAGCAACACAAAGUUAAGAACUAAGACAACAUUUGUUCUUGAUUGAAACAACGUGAUGGGUGACUAAUGAACUGUAUUGUUGCGGGAAUUGCUUCUAGCUUCAGGACUUGAAAUGUCUACAUUUAGGGACAAGAGAUGAUUGAGGAGUGAGUUUUAGAGAGAAGUUUAUUAGAGUCCCAUAAUUUCACAUUUGAGCUUCUUUUCUUUUUGUUUAAUAUAUGUCCCAAUUUGGAGUUUAUUUUUAUUCCUCUUUUCUUUGCUGUAAAAUGACAAAUACAGACUAAAACCAAGACAAGAAAAAGCGAAAUUUGGGUCACAGCACUUUUAUUUUCAAUUUGGAUAGAGAAAAUAGAAAGAAGUCAUUUGAGAGAAUUGUAAUGUCUAAAUCCAUGUGUGCUUUUAUUUAAUUAACAGUACCAUGCCUGAUGGUGGGCGUGGCAGAGAUGGAAAAGAUCACUUCUCUAACUCAAGUGGAGAUCACAGCUUUCAGGUAAAGAUGAUGUUUGUUAGAUAUUUAUUGUUGCAUAGUAUAGUUCAUGUGACAACUUGCGUCUUUUAUACAGGUGAAAGAAGAACUGGAAGCGCUGACUAAGACGCGUGACGUGCUUCAUGAUGAGGUAUGAGGUCUGAUUUGCCAGAUAGGCAGUUGGUAGAUUUCAGGAAUCUUUUACUGUUGACAUAUAAACCAAUGGAGCAACAGUUUCCUUAGUGUGGGAUGGAAGAAAUGAUUGUAUAGUUUCGAUUUUAAGGUACUGGUGAUGGAAGAGAGAUUGGAAGUAAAAGAAGAUAUGUGCUCAGAGCUUCAAAAGAAUUUUAAGGUAUGCGUCUACUAAUAUUUUACGAAUUCAACAUGUUCUAUUUUUACUAUGGUUUUUUCUCAUAUGAAAUGGUUAAACACAGAGAUUAGAAGAUUUAUUGAACAAUGAAAAGAAACUGACUUCACAACGCCGAAAAGAAUUGGCAAAGCUACACAAAUCAUAUUCAAGGGUCAGAGAGUGCAGUGACAACCUGAAAGGCUGCGAACAGGAACUCCAGUCGCUUGUUAAUUCAGCAGCUAGAGAAGGCGUGGCUGGUGCUGAUGAAGGACUAGAAAACGGG